CCUAGAGUUGUAGGCUUUGCCUGCUAUCUCUUACCCAUGUCUUUUGAGUACCUUCGUUUCCUCGGCGGGUCCGCCCGCCGAUUGGACAAUUUAAACCAUUUGCAUGUUGCAAUCAGCGUCUGAAAAAACUUAAUAGUUA
rnacentral:misc_RNA from 1 species